GAUGAAGAACGUAGCGAAAUGCGAUAAGUAAUGUGAAUUGCAGAAUUCAGUGAAUCAUCGAAUCUUUGAACGCACAUUGCGCCCGCCAGCAUUCUGGCGGGCAUGCCUGUUCGAGCGUCAUUUCAACCCUCGACCUCCCUUUGGGGAAGUCGGCGUUGGGGACCGGCAGCACACCGCCGGCCCUGAAAUGGAGUGGCGGCCCGUCCGCAGCGACCUCUGCGUAGUAAACCAACUCGCACCGGAACCCCGACGUGGCCACGCCGUAAAACACCCAACUUCUGAACGUUGACCUCGAAUCAGGUAGGACUACCCGCUGAACUUAAGCAUAUCAAUAAGCGGAGGA
rnacentral:misc_RNA from 1 species